GCCCGGGUGGCGAAAUUUAGUAUACGCGUAUGCUUGAGGGGCAUAUGGGAGCAAUCCUGUGCAGGUGCAAGUCCUGUCCCGGGCACAA
rnacentral:tRNA from 1 species